rnacentral:rRNA from 1 species
UACGUAGGGGGCAAGCGUUAUCCGGAUUUACUGGGUGUAAAGGGAGCGUAGACGGUGAUGCAAGUCAGAAGUGAAAGCCCGGGGCUCAACUCCGGGACUGCUUUUGAAACUGCAUCCCUUGAGUGCGCGAGAAGUAUGCGGAAUGCGUGGUGUAGCGGUGAAAUGCAUAGAUAUCACGCAGAACUCCGAUUGCGAAGGCAGCAUACCGGCGCGCAACUGACGCUCAUGCACGAAAGCGUGGGUAUCGAACAGG